CACUAUCGUUAACUGAAUACAUAGGUUAACGAGGCGAACCGGGGGAACUGAAACAUCUAAGUACCCCGAGGAAAAGAAAUCAACCGAGAUUCCCCCAGUAGCGGCGAGCGAACGGGGAGCAGCCCAGAGUCUGAAUCAGCUUGUGUGUUAGUGGAACGGUCUGGAAAGUCCGACGGUACAGGGUGAUAGUCCCGUACACCAAAAUGCACAGGCUGUGAACUCGAAGAGUAGGGCGGGACACGUGGUAUCCUGUCUGAAUAUGGGGGGACCAUCCUCCAAGGCUAAAUACUCCUGACUGACCGAUAGUGAACCAGUACCGUGAGGGAAAGGCGAAAAGAACCCCGGCGAGGGGAGUGAAAAAGAACCUGAAACCGUGUACGUACAAGCAGUGGGAGCACCUUCGGGUGUGACUGCGUACCUUUUGUAUAAUGGGUCAGCGACUUAUAUUCUGUAGCAAGGUUAACCGUAUAGGGGAGCCGCAGGGAAACCGAGUCUUAACUGGGCGUUAAGUUGCAGGGUAUAGACCCGAAACCCGGUGAUCUAGCCAUGGGCAGGUUGAAGGUUGGGUAACACUAACUGGAGGACCGAACCGACUAAUGUUGAAAAAUUAGCGGAUGACUUGUGGCUGGGGGUGAAAGGCCAAUCAAACCGGGAGAUAGCUGGUUCUCCCCGAAAGCUAUUUAGGUAGCGCCUCGUGAAUUCAUCUUCGGGGGUAGAGCACUGUUUCGGCUAGGGGGUCAUCCCGACUUACCAACCCGAUGCAAACUACGAAUACCGAAGAAUGUUAUCACGGGAGACACACGGCGGGUGCUAACGUCCGUCGUGAAGAGGGAAACAACCCAGACCGCCAGCUAAGGUCCCAAAGUCAUGGUUAAGUGGGAAACGAUGUGGGAAGGCACAGACAGCCAGGAUGUUGGCUUAGAAGCAGCCAUCAUUUAAAGAAAGCGUAAUAGCUCACUGGUCGAGUCGGCCUGCGCGGAAGAUGUAACGGGGCUAAACCAUGCACCGAAGCUGCGGCAGCGACACUAUGUGUUGUUGGGUAGGGGAGCGUUCUGUAAGCCUGCGAAGGUGACCUGUGAGGGUUGCUGGAGGUAUCAGAAGUGCGAAUGCUGACAUAAGUAACGAUAAAGCGGGUGAAAAGCCCGCUCGCCGGAAGACCAAGGGUUCCUGUCCAACGUUAAUCGGGGCAGGGUGAGUCGACCCCUAAGGCGAGGCCGAAAGGCGUAGUCGAUGGGAAACAGGUUAAUAUUCCUGUACUUGGUGUUACUGCGAAGGGGGGACGGAGAAGGCUAUGUUAGCCGGGCGACGGUUGUCCCGGUUUAAGCAUGUAGGCUGAUUAUCCAGGCAAAUCCGGAUAAUCAAGGCUGAGGUGUGAUGACGAGGCACUACGGUGCUGAAGUAACAAAUGCCCUGCUUCCAGGAAAAGCCUCUAAGCAUCAGGUAACAUCAAAUCGUACCCCAAACCGACACAGGUGGUCAGGUAGAGAAUACCAAGGCGCUUGAGAGAACUCGGGUGAAGGAACUAGGCAAAAUGGUGCCGUAACUUCGGGAGAAGGCACGCUGGUGUGUAGGUGAAGUCCCUGCGGAUGGAGCUGAGACCAGUCGAAGAUACCAGCUGGCUGCAACUGUUUAUUAAAAACACAGCACUGUGCAAACACGAAAGUGGACGUAUACGGUGUGACGCCUGCCCGGUGCCGGAAGGUUAAUUGAUGGGGUUAUCCGUAAGGAGAAGCUCUUGAUCGAAGCCCCGGUAAACGGCGGCCGUAACUAUAACGGUCCUAAGGUAGCGAAAUUCCUUGUCGGGUAAGUUCCGACCUGCACGAAUGGCGUAAUGAUGGCCAGGCUGUCUCCACCCGAGACUCAGUGAAAUUGAACUCGCUGUGAAGAUGCAGUGUACCCGCGGCAAGACGGAAAGACCCCGUGAACCUUUACUAUAGCUUGACACUGAACAUUGAGCCUUGAUGUGUAGGAUAGGUGGGAGGCUUUGAAGCGUGGACGCCAGUCUGCGUGGAGCCAACCUUGAAAUACCACCCUUUAAUGUUUGAUGUUCUAACGUUGGCCCCUUACCGGGGUUGCGGACAGUGUCUGGUGGGUAGUUUGACUGGGGCGGUCUCCUCCCAAAGCGUAACGGAGGAGCACGAAGGUUAGCUAAUCCUGGUCGGACAUCAGGAGGUUAGUGCAAUGGCAUAAGCUAGCUUGACUGCGAGCGUGACGGCGCGAGCAGGUGCGAAAGCAGGUCAUAGUGAUCCGGUGGUUCUGAAUGGAAGGGCCAUCGCUCAACGGAUAAAAGGUACUCCGGGGAUAACAGGCUGAUACCGCCCAAGAGUUCAUAUCGACGGCGGUGUUUGGCACCUCGAUGUCGGCUCAUCACAUCCUGGGGCUGAAGUAGGUCCCAAGGGUAUGGCUGUUCGCCAUUUAAAGUGGUACGCGAGCUGGGUUUAGAACGUCGUGAGACAGUUCGGUCCCUAUCUGCCGUGGGCGCUGGAGAAUUGAGGGGGGCUGCUCCUAGUACGAGAGGACCGGAGUGGACGCAUCACUGGUGUUCGGGUUGUCAUGCCAAUGGCACUGCCCGGUAGCUAAAUGCGGAAGAGAUAAGUGCUGAAAGCAUCUAAGCACGAAACUUGCCCCGAGAUGAGUUCUCCCUGAGACUUUAAGUCUCCUGAAGGAACGUUAAAGACGAUGACGUUGAUAGGCCGGGUGUGUAAGCGCAGCGAUGCGUUGAGCUAACCGGUACUAAUGAACCGUGAGGCUUAACCUU
rnacentral:rRNA from 1 species